rnacentral:rRNA from 1 species
AUUGAACGCUGGCGGCAGGCCUAACACAUGCAAGUCGAACGAGUGGCGGACGGGUGAGUAAUGUCUGGGAAACUGCCAGAUGCAGGGGACUAACUCCUGGAAACGGUAGAUAAUACCGCAUACCAUCGGAUGUGCGCAGAGGGGAUUAGCUAGUAGGUGGGGUAAAGGCUCACCUAGGCGACGAUCCAUAGCUGAGCUGAGAGGAUGACAAUCCACACUGGAACUGAGACACGGUCCAUACUCCGACGGGAGGCAGCAGUGGGGAAUAUUGCGCAAUGGGCGCAAGCCUGAUGCAGCCAGGCCGCGUGUAUGAAGAAGGCCUUCGGGUUGUAAAGUACUUUCAGCGGGGAGGCGUUACCCGCAGAAGAAGCACCGGCUAACUCCGUGCCAGCAGCCGCGGUAAUAC